rnacentral:rRNA from 1 species
CGUAGGGUGCGAGCGUUAAUCGGAAUUACUGGGCGUAAAGCGUGCGCAGGCGGUUUAGUAAGACAGGCGUGAAAUCCCCGGGCUCAACCUGGGAACUGCGCUUGUGACUGCUAAGCUAGAGUACGGCAGAGGGGGUGGAAUUCCACGUGUAGCAGUGAAAUGCGCAGAGAUGUGGAGGAACACCAAUGGCGAAGGCAGCCCCCUGGGUCGAUACUGACGCUCAUGCACGAAAGCGUGGGUAGCAAACAGGAUUAGAUACCCUGGUAGUCCACGUCCUAAACGAUGUCAACUAGGUGUUGGGAGGGUAAAACCUUUUGUACCGGAGCUAACGCGUGAAGUUGACCGCCUGGGGAGUACGGCCGCAAGGUUA